AGAGUUUGAUUAUGGCUCAGGAUGAACGCUAGCUACAGGCUUAACACAUGCAAGCCGAGGGGCAGCAUAACGAAAGCUUGCUUUGUGAUGGCGACCGGCGCACGGGUGAGUAACGCGUAUCCAACCUUCCCCAUAGUAGAGAAUAGCCCGGCGAAAGUCGGAUUAAUGCUCUAUGUUGUAUCAUGAGGACAUCUGAAUAAUACCAAAGGUUCACCGCUAUGGGAUGGGGAUGCGUCUGAUUAGGUUGUUGGCGGGGUAACGGCCCACCAAGCCCACGAUCAGUAGGGUUCUGAGAGGAAGGUCCCCCACAUUGGAACUGAGACACGGUCCAAACUCCUACGGGAGGCAGCAGUGAGGAAUAUUGGUCAAUGGACGGAAGUCUGAACCAGCCAAGUAGCGUGCAGGAUGACGGCCCUAUGGGUUGUAAACUGCUUUUAUACAGGGAUAAAGUGAGGGACGUGUCCCUUUUGUAGGUACUGUAUGAAUAAGGACCGGCUAAUUCCGUGCCAGCCGCUGC
rnacentral:rRNA from 1 species